rnacentral:misc_RNA from 1 species
AACAAGGCGUACCUGCGGACCUGCGGAAGGAUCAUUACCGAGUGUGGCCCCCUUUCUAAGAGGGGGUACCUCCCGUCCUUUGCAGGCCCUUUUUUAAGGGGCUUUUUGACUUUGCUUCGGCGGGUUUAGCCCCCCGCCGGAACACCCUCAAGAAAAUCUUUUAAUAAACUUUUGUUGUCCGAGUUUACUUGCGAAUAAAUCAAAACUUUCAACAACGGAUCUCAGAUCGGAAGAGCACAC